rnacentral:ncRNA from 2 species
UAAAUUAAAAUGGGGUGCCAAAAAUUUCAGGCUGAGAUUAUACCCAAUGAACCUGCUACGGAUAAUGCCGGCGAAGGGAAUAAAAAAACUCACCCC